UGAGGAAUAUUGGUCAAUGGGCGAGAGCCUGAACCAGCCACGUCGCGUGAAGGAAGACUGACCUUACGGUUUGUAAACUUCUUUUGUAGAGGGGUAAUGGCAGAUACGUGUAUUUGCGUGAAAGUACUCUACGAAUAAGCAUCGGCUAACUCCGUGCCAGCAGCCGCGGUAAUACGGGGGAUGCGAGCGUUAUCCGGAAUUAUUGGGUUUAAAGGGAGCGUAGGCUGUUUGUUAAGCGUGUUGUGAAAUGUAGGAGCUCAACUUUUAGAUUGCAGCGCGAACUGGCAGACUUGAGUGCGCACAACGUAGGCGGAAUUCAUGGUGUAGCGGUGAAAUGCUUAGAUAUCAUGACGAACUCCGAUUGCGAAGGCAGCUUACGGGGGCGCAACUGACGCUGAGGGACGAAAGCGUGGGGAGCAAACAGG
rnacentral:rRNA from 1 species